rnacentral:rRNA from 1 species
AUUGAACGCUGGCGGCAGGCCUAACACAUGCAAGUCGACCGAGUGGCGGACGGGUGAGUAAUGUCUGGGAAACUGCCUGAUGGAGGGGGAUAACUACUGGAAACGGUAGCUAAUACCGCAUACCAUCGGAUGUGCCCAGAUGGGAUUAGCUAGUAGUGGGGGUAAAGUCUCACCUAGGCGACGAUCCCUAGCUGGUCUGAGAGGAUGACCAGCAACUGUGAAACUGAGACACAGACAAGACUCUCACGGGAGGCAGCAGUGGGGAAUAUUGCACAAUGGGCGCAAGCCUGAAGCAGCCAUGCCGCGUGUAUGAAGAAGGCCUUCGGGUUGUAAAGUACUUUCAGCGGGGAGGCGUGACCCGCAGAAGAAGCACCGGCUAACUCCGAGCCAGCAGCCGCGGUAAUAC